rnacentral:rRNA from 1 species
AGAGUUUGAUCCUGGCUCAGGAUGAACGCUGGCGGCGUGCCUAAUACAUGCAAGUCGAGCGAGAAUCUGAUGAUCGGAGAUUCGUCAAAGAGAAUCAGAGGAAAGCGGCGGACGGGUGAGUAACGCGUAGGCAACCUGCCCUUAGCAGAGGGAUAGCCAUUGGAAACGAUGAUUAAAACCUCAUAAUGCUGAAGAGUCACAUGUCUUUUCAGCCAAAGAUUUAUCGGCUAAGGAUGGGCCUGCGUCUGAUUAACUAGUUGGUGAGGUAACGGCCCACCAAGGUGACGAUCAGUAGCCGACCUGAGAGGGUGAUCGGCCACAUUGGAACUGAGACACGGUCCAAACUUCUACGGAAGGCAGCAGUAAGGAAUCUUGCACAAUCGGGGAAACCCUGAUGCAGCAACGCCGCGUGAACGAUGAAGGCUUUAGGGUUGUAAAGUUCUGAUCUGUGGGAAGAAGAAAGUGACGGUACCACAGGAGAAAGCCCCGGCUAAAUACGUGCCAGCAGCCGCGGUAAUACGUAUGGGGCAAGCGUUAUCCGGAAUUAUUGGGCGUAAAGAGUGCGUAGGUGGUUACCUAAGCGCAAGGUUUAAUCUUGAGGCUCAACCUCAUUCUGCCUUGCGAACUGGGCUACUUGAGUGCUGGAGGGGAAAGCGNANNUCCCAGUGUAGCGGUGAAAUGCGUAGAUAUUGGGAAGAACACCGGUGGCGANGGCGGCUUUCUGGACAGUAACUGACACUGAGGCACGAAAGCGUGGGGAGCAAACAGGAUUAGAUACCCUGGUAGUNCACGCNGUAAACGAUGAGCACUAGUUGUUGGGUACGAAUGUAUUCAGUGACGCAGUUAACGCAAUAAGUGCUCCGCCUGGGGAGUACGGUGGCAACACUAAAACUCAAAGGAAUUGACGGGGACCCGCACAAGCAGCGGAGCAUGUGGUUUAAUUCGAAGCAACGCGAAAAACCUUACCAGGGCUUGACAUCCCUCUGACCGGAUCUUAACCGAUCCUUUCUUCGGACAGAGGUGACAGGUGGUGCAUGGUUGUCGUCAGCUCGUGUCGUGAGAUGUUGGGUUAAGUCCCGCAGCGAGCGCAACCCUCGUCGUCAGUUACUAACAUUCGGUUGAGGACUCUGACGAGACUGCCGAGGUCAACUCGGAGGAAGGUGGGGAUGACGUCAAAUCAUCAUGCCCCUUAUGUUCUGGGCUACACACGUGCUACAAUGACCGUCACAGAGGGAGGCGACGGAGCGAUCCCGAGCGAACCCCCAAAGGCGGUCCCAGUUCGGACUGCAGGCUGAAACCCGCCUGCACGAAGCCGGAGUUGCUAGUAAUCGCGGAUCAGCAUGCCGCGGUGAAUGCGUUCCCGGGUCUUGUACACACCGCCCGUCACACCAUGGAAGCCGGAGGUGCCCGAAGUCGGUCAGCUAAUCAGACUGCCUAAGGCAAAACUGGUGACUGGGGUGAAGUCGUAACAAGGUAGCCGUA